GGGAGGGCUGACCAGUUCAAAGACUUCUCUCAAUAGUCCAGGAAUGGGAUGGCGAGGAACUGAGCAAAGCUUGAACUGAGAGAAUAAAACGAGAGAGGUGACUGUAGCAACAAUGAAAUUCGUCCAUGGCUGGCUUACAUGAGGGAGAUGAAAGUAAAAAGUCUUGGGUGACCCCAAGAAUGACAACUUAAAUUGCAGGGAAGUGAGGCUCCCAGAUAGGGAACGAGGGUGGCAGAUGACUCUGGAAGUCCUUUCGCCCUUCAUAUAUUCUAUUACCAUAUAGAUGUGGCUCCUUCCAAAUGGGACACUCAGCUAACAAGGCGGAAUCUUCUCUUUCCUUAACUACUGCUGGAUCUUCUUGUUGCUAGGAGGGAUUGCCCUGUGUGAAGCUGGCGCCAUUUUGGAAUGACUGCUUCUCUACACUCUGUCUUCCAUGUGGUGUCUUCCUAUACCCGACUGGACUUUUCUUCCACUGAGGAAGAGGGAAAAUCCCCUUUUCCCUCCCUCGUCCCUGAAUCAUUCCUUUUUGGGACCUGGAUUUCCUACACUUCUUACUUCAGUUCAUGAACAUGGCUUCCUCCAUCACUAAACUAGGGAACUCAUCUUGUCUCCUAGUGUAAAUCCAUCCUUUGACUCUUGGCUACCCAUCCUUUUCUGAACAUCUAUAGAAUUUUGGUGGUCCUCUUGUGUGGCCUUAGGCUGGACAAAGGUGCUUAGGGUCCUUUCUCCUCUUGUUCCUAACAUGUCAUCCUCUUCCCACAAAUUCAAGGAAAUAUUUUCUUCAAGUCCUAUCUGUUUCCUCUGCUUAGCAGUAAACAGAGUAGGAAGCACUUUCUGGGUGUAAAGGAGACUGGCACACCUGCAUAUUGCACGAAGGUGGGGUGAUACAACAGAUGUGGAACCUGGCAUACAUUUUCAGAUGAGGUCACUGUCGUUAGCUUUUGCUUAAUUGUUUUACUUUGCUACAAGGGACCUCUCGUGGAGUUGGGGUAAUCUGUAAAUGUUUGUAAUGUAAAAACAAAACAUCAAUAAAAUGUCAGCUGAUCCA